GUGAAUCAUCGAAUCUUUGAACGCAAAUUGCACUCUCUGGUAUUCCGGUGAGUAUGCCUGUUUGAGGGUCAGAUUAAAUAAAAAUCGGUGUGGUUGCUGCCUUUCGUGGUGACGCACCGGAUGUGGGUCGUCUUGCCUUUGGUUAAGUGACCUAAAAUUUCGCAUGAUUUUUUCGAACGUUUCUAAGUGAUUUUACGUACGUUUGCGAUAGCGUCUACUAUGUUCGG
rnacentral:misc_RNA from 1 species